GAUGAACGCUGGCGGCGUGCCUAAUACAUGCAAGUCGAGCGAACAGACGAGGAGCUUGCUCCUCUGACGUUAGCGGCGGACGGGUGAGUAACACGUGGAUAACCUACCUAUAAGACUGGGAUAACUUCGGGAAACCGGAGCUAAUACCGGAUAAUAUAUUGAACCGCAUGGUACAAUAGUGAAAGACGGUUUUGCUGUCACUUAUAGAUGGAUCCGCGCCGCAUUAGCUAGUUGGUAAGGUAACGGCUUACCAAGGCGACGAUGCGUAGCCGACCUGAGAGGGUGAUCGGCCACACUGGAACUGAGACACGGUCCAGACUCCUACGGGAGGCAGCAGUAGGGAAUCUUCCGCAAUGGGCGAAAGCCUGACGGAGCAACGCCGCGUGAGUGAUGAAGGUCUUCGGAUCGUAAAACUCUGUUAUUAGGGAAGAACAAAUGUGUAAGUAACUAUGCACGUCUUGACGGUACCUAAUCAGAAAGCCACGGCUAACUACGUG
rnacentral:rRNA from 1 species